rnacentral:lncRNA from 1 species
UUGUGGUGUUUUUAGCAAUUUACUCUCUCAAAAGCAGUGGCAAAGACUCCUUCGUGCUAAACUGGAGCAUGUCCGUAUUAGAAUUUGAGGAUGCCAAGUGAUUUACUACUAUCUAGUCCUUUAAUCUAGCUUCAUUCAACCUCAUCUUCAUUUUUGUUGUACACACCUUGAGAUUCGAGUUGUACAUGUUGUAGUUGACGAGAUCAACGAAUGAAAACCAUAGUGGCAGAACUAUAUGCAAUGCAGCAUAGGCAGUGAGAGUAAUCUCCAAUCAUAGGCAACAAACUCUCGAGGGCUUUCAUGUUGGUGCCAUUAUCCUAUAACUUGGUGGAACUAAACUUCCGGUUAUUGUUGGGUUCCUAACGCAUCCAAAUCCUAAGAACAUGUCUUCUUUUACAGGAAACUAGUACACAUGCAC